GACGAACGCUGGCGGCGUGCCUAAUACAUGCAAGUAGAACGCUGAAGCUUGGUGCUUGCACCGAGCGGAUGAGUUGCGAACGGGUGAGUAACGCGUAGGUAACCUGCCUGGUAGCGGGGGAUAACUAUUGGAAACGAUAGCUAAUACCGCAUAAGAGUAGAUGUUGCAUGACAUUUGCUUAAAAGGUGCAAUUUCAUCACUACCAGAUGGACCUGCGUUGUAUUAGCUAGUUGGUGAGGUAACGGCUCACCAAGGCAACGAUACAUAGCCAACCUGAGAGGGUGAUCGGCCACACUGGGACUGAGACACGGCCCAGACUCCUACGGGAGGCAGCAGUAGGGAAUCUUCGGCAAUGGACGGAAGUCUGACCGAGCAACGCCGCGUGAGUGAAGAAGGUUUUCGGAUCGUAAAGCUCUGUUGUAAGAGAAGAACGAGUGUGCGAGUGGAAAGUACACACAGUGACGGGAUCGCACCAGAAAGGGACGGCGAACUACGU
rnacentral:rRNA from 1 species